CCAACGGCCCUCUUAAGGGCCACAAAUUUAUGAAUCAUGCUGGCU
rfam:Onchocerca flexuosa genome assembly, scaffold: OFLC_scaffold0005316